rnacentral:rRNA from 1 species
UACGAAGGGAGCGAGCGUUGUUCGGAAUCACUGGGCUUAAAGCGUGCGUAGGCGGAGAUGCAAGUCAGAAGUGAAAUCCCGGGGCUUAACCCCGGAACUGCUUUUGAAACUGCAUCCCUAGAAUUCGGUAGAGGUUAAUGGAAUAUCCAGUGUAGAGGUGAAAUUCGCAGAUAUUGGAUAGAACACCAGUGGCGAAGGCGAUUAACUGGGCCGAUAUUGACGCUGAGGCACGAAAGCGUGGGGAGCAAACAGG